UGGGGAAUAUUGCACAAUGGGGGAAACCCUGAUGCAGCAAUGCCGCGUGGGUGAAGAAGCACUCCGGUGCGUAAAGCCCUGUCAGCAGGGAAGAAAAUGACAGUACCUGACCAAGAAGCCCCGGCUAACUACGUGCCAGCAGCCGCGGUAAUACGUAGGGGGCAAGCGUUAUCCGGAUUUACUGGGUGUAAAGGGAGCGCAGGCGGUAUGGCAAGUCAGAUGUGAAAACCCAGGGCUCAACCCUGGGACUGCAUUUGAAACUGCCAUACUGGAGUGCCGGAGAGGUAAGUGGAAUUCCUAGUGUAGCGGUGAAAUGCGUAGAUAUUAGGAGGAACACCAGUGGCGAAGGCGGCUUACUGGACGGUAACUGACGCUGAGGCUCGAAAGCGUGGGGAGCAAACAGG
rnacentral:rRNA from 1 species